rnacentral:lncRNA from 1 species
AAAAAUAAGCAGAGAACAGUAUGGGCUGGAGCAUCCCAGCCCAGAAUAGUAUGAGUUGGAUCAUCUCAGCCCAGUGGAGUGGUUCAGAAGACAAGACAAAAACGAUGAAGUCACAAGAGACAAAGCCCGAAAAGCCCAAGCUUAGGUUGGCGAGUUUACUCAUGAAUAACGAAUGGCGGUGCUAAAGAACGGCGGCGGAGGGAAACAUCGCCCACAUCAACGUCCCCUGGAUUUUGGGCAUUAUUUUAUCUUUUAUUUUUACCAACAUAAAACACGCAACGCUGAAGCUGAGGCUGAGGCUGAGGCUGAUGAGGGAGCAUCUCUUUGCAAAAUUGCAUGUGGGUAAUCCCGAGGGCACCACCGACCGCAUCAUCAAUGCCAG